rnacentral:lncRNA from 1 species
GAGAGCCCUGCCCUUCAAAACGGAGUCCUGUACACAGUCACACUGCACUUCCCAUGUCCAAGAUGGUUCCAUUAAGUUGUAUAAGCCUGAAAAUGAAGAACCAUCACAAUACCCCUGUGGUCCUUCACCCACACAUCCCUACCCAAUAAAUCACCACACCCAUUUGUGUCUACACUGGGAAAAUGGCUCUCCAGAGCGCAUAUCCUGAUAUCCCCUUCCCAUCCCCACCACCACUGCUGAAGCUGAGGCCUCACACACUCUCACCUGGGUUACUUCAACUCCCUCCUCACCUGUAUCCAUUCUUUCAGGCUUCACCAGCCACUGGCCAGGUACACUUUUCAAAAAUGCAAAUCUGAGCUCUCCUCUGCCCUCCUUUCAACUACUGAGACUCUCAGGAGGCUCCAUGUCUGUGGCAGUCUGUGGAUUCUGAAACUUGGCCAUCAUGACUGCCUGUGAUGAAUUUUGGUAACAAAGAGAACAAUAUCCAAAUGGUCUCCUGUUCGCCAGCUCAGGCAGGCCAACUCUGAGGCCAGCAACAUUGCAAUGACACCUGCCCAACGAUGGGAAAACCUGUUCUCUAUGUGGAAAGCCAUUGACCUAAUUAUCCAAUCCGCGGAGUUCCUGCUUUCCCCUAAAUCAGCAAGAAGAAUUAAGGGCAAGAGAAAACAGCUCAUCCUAACUUCCCAGCACCUCCCUCUAGCGGCUGACUAAAUUUAGCUAUCGACAGCAGCUCUUGACAAAGGAAAGAAGGCUUGUUUAUUUGGGUGCUGUGCACAAGUGUCCAUCUCUCCAGUACCCAGGCUUUGGUUCUUAGGCAUCCAGCUCCCUUUAUCCAGGCAUCCUCCCUAAGGAAAGAUGGAACUAGAGAUGGCAACGACUCCUUUUGGACCCCAGGUUGACUCCAGUCAGGUCUCAGCAUGUCAUCACGGCUAUCAGACUGCUCCUUGCAAUAAAUCAGCUGAUACCAGCGCCCCUCACUCAUGCUCUCCCCCAGGGUAUGUCCAUCCUCCUAAGCAGAGCCUACUUCUCAUCAGCUUAUUUGCUCCUAAAAUCUAUAUACUCCUAAUUGCCCUAAUUUUACAGAGGAUCAUUAUCUUAGCAAGGUAACAUAUCGAAUUGAUGAUGAUGAUGUCAGUAAUGGUAAUGAUAGUAGUACUGAAGAUGUAAUGAUGCUCUUUUUUCUUCUGCAAAUUUUUCUGAGUACUGAACAGGGCCACUGCUAGCCUAUACCCUAUCUUUUUGUGAAUGCAAAAGAGGUGACCCUUUCUCAGACAGGCACAGCCCCACACCCUGGAGCCCUGCUAUGCAAGUGGACUACAAGCUUGACUUCAGCUCCCUCUAACCAUCUCUGUAGGAUAUCCUUGUGCAGGGAUCUACCUACACACCUGUAUGCAAUGGUGCUCGUGUGGGCAACAGCCUGAAUAAACAGUAAAAGACUAGGCAGCCUGCAAGAAAGAGGCAAGUCUGUGUUUAUAUUUGGGCAGGGGAAAAGCAGCUAUAUGGUGUGGAAGAGAAGUUGGUUGCAUUGUCUUGACAUUUCCUACCUCC